UAGUGGGCGGGGCGUGUGGGCCGGUCUACGUGGGGCGGGGCGUACGUAGCCCCGCCCACCACGGCUUCUUUUGGCACGUUAUAGGUGGACUAGAAUCCAGCCUUAACUUGGGCUUUCUUGUGGGUGUGUCUUUCGGGGAGAGGGCUGCUUCGCAGGUGAGUUGGCGGCGGCGGUGGCAGCGUUACCUAGGCUUUAGAAGUUCAAGCUUUGGACAGACCCAACGUUUGUGACCUGUCCUCCUGCUUGUGAGUCGUCUGUCCUCCAAGUCCCCCCGGGAUGGUGGGGGUGACCUAACAGCAUUAGACCCAUCUUGACGCUGUGGCACUUCUUGCUGCAGUUGUGAACGUGGUGACCUGGCUAUGGGGACUGCACAAGAACAAGCCCCACAUGAAUUACAAGGAAUUCCACUCGGCCAAGAGGCUGAUUUUCACUGGUCUCCUCAGCUGGAACUCUGCCUACUCCUUCGGCUGCUUUCCAGAAACCUACUGUGCUCUC